CGCGGGGUGGAGCAGUUUGGUAGCUCGUCGGGCUCAUAACCCGAAGGUCGUUGGUUCAAAUCCAACCCCCGCAA
rnacentral:tRNA from 1 species